UAACUUAAAUCCAAAAAAAAAAAAGAGGAGAAUUAUUGUUAAUAAUUUAAUUGAAUAAAUUUCUAAGUUAG
rnacentral:tRNA from 1 species